UUGUACCAUAAAAAUUGUUAAAAUAGAAAUUAAAUAUUUAUCGUAAGCUGUAUGAAGACGUAUUUGGGAAUGUUAUAGUUCAGUGAAUUGGUAAACUCAGCACUAGAUGAGGUGAUCAGCCAGCUUCAAAAUCCCUGAAAUUGUCCUAGAUGUGGCAAAGAUAAAUAUUGCAACCCCCUUCCUGGAAUUGAGAAUUUAAAAGUAUCAUGAGUGGUUAGAAUUAAAUGACAUUAAUCUGUUAUUUAGUUAUUAUAUUGCUAAUUUGAUGGAGGAUAAUAUGAACAGAAGCCCCCACUACAAUGCCCCUCUAUAUAUGGCCACCCUUGCAUUGCACCCAAGAAAGUCUCAAAAUAGAAAUUCCUUAUGUAAUUUCAAAGAGAAGCACCCAGUAAAGUGCUAACGCUGCUAGCUGCCAUCUACCAGAAUCUGUGGCCAUACAAAUACAUUAUUAAGCUUUAAAGUUAGCACCAUACCAUUUUGUUCUACAAGCUAUACUGGAAUAUUCAUACGCCUGAAGAUGGAGACAGUAUGUUUCUCUGAAACAAUGGUACCUACUUACAGGUAUACAUGGCAUCACAACCCAGAAGAACAUCACCACCACCUUGAGAACUUCAAAUCUCUCAUAUCUUCAGUGACUGCAUUUAUAUGCAGAACUGCCCUGUUUAUAACAGUGAAAGUAUGAAGAGUAUAAGUAAACAGUGUAUACAACUUGAGCCUGUCUGUACUUUCAUAAUAUACAAUGGAUAAAGCAGAA